rnacentral:snRNA from 9 species
UGACUUACCUGGCGUAGGGAAUAUCAUGAUCAUGCAGGCAGUUCCCCCAGGGCGAGGCUGCUCCAUGGCACUGCAGAGUGGUUGAUCCUUGCGCAUGCGAUUAUCCCUAAUGCAGAUAUCUCGGACGCGUAAUAAU